CCAGGAACAAGGUCUCAGUCCGA
rnacentral:miRNA from 1 species